rnacentral:rRNA from 1 species
UACGUAGGGUGCGAGCGUUGUCCGGAAUUAUUGGGCGUAAAGGGCUCGUAGGCGGUUUGUCGCGUCGGGAGUGAAAUCAUCUGGCUUAACUGGGUGCUUGCUUUCGAUACGGGCAGACUAGAGGUAUGCAGGGGAGAACGGAAUUCCUGGUGUAGCAGUGAAAUGCGUAGAUAUCAGGAGGAAUACCGAUGGCGAAGGCAGGUCUCUGGGCUGACACUGACGCUCAUGCACGAAAGCGUGGGGAGCAAACAGG